UACAAUCAGCAGGGAAUUGGGAUGGAAC
rnacentral:sRNA from 1 species